AUUGAAAAAGCAGAGAUAGAUAAGGCACACGAGAAUUAACGAGGUUCGGCAACGUGCCUACGUCCUCAAAACAAUAACUAGAUUCACUUAGACAAUCUUUACAACAAGACCUUGCCUAACUGGAAUUACACGACACUAAGAACCUCUUAGUUCGACACCAAACAAUAUCUAGUUACACCCAGUAUUAGAACAACUAAACCCGUGUUCCAGCAAGCAGCUCGACUUGCCUACAAAAGCACCGAAACAGAGCAAUUCGUUUUUCUCUCUCUCUUUUCGGCUCGCCCUAGCAACACACAUCUCCCUAGUAUAUAUACCCAUAUACCUAUGAGAUAUGUCACCCUAGAUUUUAUCCCGAUACAAAAGGAAAAUAUCCUCUUCUAAAUAAAAGAAACAAAUCUUCAAUAAUAUUCUUCUCCAAGAAUAUCUUCAAUUGCACGUUUCUUCUGAUUUGAUCUCUCUAAAUAUCUUUCUGAUAUUUAUCUUCAACUCCACGAGCCACGUCAGCACCAACCAAGCAAUCCCAAACUUGUUCCAACAGACCGUUUCUUGUUCCAGCAAGAUCUGCACUUUCAUUCUCCCCCUUUUUAACUGAGUUUUACAACUCAAGCUCACCAUAAUUAUCACGCAUCCCCAGCAAGACAUCAUGAUAUACAAACUCCCCCUUAAUCAUAUAUCACUGUGAUAAUUAACUCUCCAUGGAUCUUCUACUCUCCAUGGAUCUUCUACAUUCUCCCCCUGCUUGAGUGAUAAAACUUUGUUAAAAAAAAUACUUGCUGGAAUAUUCUCCUCGAUCAGAAUCGUCUUCCACUUGGAUCUCUCCAAUAACUCUCAUUUCUAAAUCUGAACUUUUUCUUCGCAAACUUUGCUUGAUCAUUUGACAUGUGCUUCAAACACCUACAUGUGCAGCACAUCAUCUUCCUUGGAGUAUUGGUUGAUGACUUAUGAGACACAUCACCAUACAAAUCCAUCUUCUUAAUCCAAACCUUUUGAAAUCUCCUUGAAUCUUGAACAAACUUCUUUUGCUUUAAUGCACAUCUAAUCUUGUCAAGGAACUUAUAGCAGUAGGCCUUGAUAUGCCCUUUCUUUCCACAAUAAAAGCAUCCUGAAGUACAAAACACUUUUUGGUGACUCUUCUGGGUUUCAGUUCCAACAGAAUUCAGCUUGUUCCAGCUAACAACACAUGUUCUUAAAUUUGAUGAACUUUUGUUGCAUCCACGAACAUAACUCAUCUUCUUCUCAUCAGAAAUACAUGGACUGGUACUUUUGACUUGUACAUUAUGCUCAUCCAUCGGAGUUAUGAUGAGACUUUUUGCGGUCGUCUCCAACAGGUUUUCCUUUGUUCCAGCAGAUUUCGACAGAUUCUCUUGAACAAAAAUAGUCUUUGAAUCAGAUGUACCUCCUUGAUAACCAAGACCAAAUCUUGUUUUCUCUGUUCUUCCCAUGCUUAGUAUUUGAUCUAGGUUCUUUGUUCCAUUAUUCAACAUCCUCAAGUACUUUUCAUUCUGCAUGAGUUCAUCCUCCAACCGUUUGGAUUUUUCUUUUUCUGCUGCAAGUUCCUCCUUCACGUUUAGCAUAUGAACAACUUCAUGAUCUUCAUUCUUCAAAGCACAAGAACACUUUUGAUUUUCAGCAAGCUUGAUUUUCAAUUUCUCUGAUUCUUCUUUCUCAAGAGUUAGCUCUUUCUCGAUAUUCUUCAUCUUACUUUCCAUCAACAUCUUCUCAUCGAUUAGUACCAUGUAGUCUUUACUUUUCUUAACCCAACUCUCAUAAAGACUUUUGAAUUCAGCUUGAAGAUCCACCUCUUGAUCGCUUUCUAAAUCGCUGCUUGUGUUGGAGUAUUCGCUACUUAUUUCAGCAGUUGAUAUAGAAUCAGAUAUUUCGCUUCCUUCUUUGUGCUCCACGAAUGAAGGUAAUGCCACGAAGUUGGCUAACUCCUCUUCAUCAUCUGUUUCACUCUCACUAGAGUCUUCAUAGAUAUUUCUUUUUAUCUUCACACCGUCGACACACUCAGAUUUUGUAUGUCCAUAACCGUUACAUCCUAAGCAACGAACCUUUUUCUUCUUCUUGAUACUCGGACAUGCAGACUUGAUGUGUCCAAAUCCUCUACAUUCAUGGCACUGUAUACCACGUCUUCCUUCUCCCACAUUUUUGUAUGUGCCAUGAUCAUUUUCCAAAGAGUUCUUACCCCUUUUUCCAACGUCUUUAAGAAGUUUCCCAAACAUCUUCACAAGUGAGCUCAUAGAUUCUUCUAAAUUUUGUAUUCUCAACUUGUCAUCAUUCUCAUAUAGAGUUGGUCUAUUGACACUAUUUGAAAUGACAUCCUGUUGGUCCAUCUCAUACGCUUGUAGUCUCCCAACUAUUUCAUCAAAUGGGGUCUCAUCCGUGUUAAAAGCAGUUUCCAUAGCCGCCUUUUGUGCCUCGAAUCUCUUAGGCAAACAUCGCAGCAACUUCUUGACAAGCUUCUUGUCUUUGUACGUCUUCCCAAUCACAUGUGCUUCAUUAGCAAUCGCACACAGCUUAGCACUAAAAUCUGUAACAUUUUCGUGCUCAUCCAUUCGUAGAUUCUCAAAUUGAGAAGCUAGCCUGUCAAUUCUUGAUAUCUUCACACUUUUUGUUCCUUCAAAAACUUUUUCUAGCUUAUCCCACGCUUCUUUGGCUGAUUCACACCCUUGAAUCAACUUGAAUUGAUUCUUGUUAACCGAGGUAAAAAUAGUAGAUAAAGCUUUUGCAUUAUACCUUGACAUAGUCUUCUCAUUCUUUGUCCAUUUAGCCUUUGGUUUAGUGACAAUAGAACCGUCUCUUUCUUCAAUUUUUGGGACUUCAUAGCCAUCUUCCACAGCCGUCCAAGCAUCCUCAUCAAUACCUUGUAUGAUUGCCUUCAUAUUCACCUUCCAAUAUCCAUAGUUUUCAGCAUCUAACGCAAGACUUUUAACUGCCAACCAUUCUCGAAAUAUAUCAUCCAUCUCUUUCCUCAGGAUCCUCACCCGUUUGUGGAGUUAGACUCUUUACAGAUGCCCGCUCUGAUACCAAUUGAAAAAGCAGAGAUAGAUAAGGCACACGAGAAUUAACGAGGUUCGGCAACGUGCCUACGUCCUCAAAACAAUAACUAGAUUCACUUAGACAAUCUUUACAACAAGACCUUGCCUAACUGGAAUUACACGACACUAAGAACCUCUUAGUUCGACACCAAACAAUAUCUAGUUACACCCAGUAUUAGAACAACUAAACCCGUGUUCCAGCAAGCAGCUCGACUUGCCUACAAAAGCACCGAAACAGAGCAAUUCGUUUUUCUCUCUCUCUUUUCGGCUCGCCCUAGCAACACACAUCUCCCUAGUAUAUAUACCCAUAUACCUAUGAGAUAUGUCACCCUAGAUUUUAUCCCGAUACAAAAGGAAAAUAUCCUCUUCUAAAUAAAAGAAACAAAUCUUCAAUAAUAUUCUUCUCCAAGAAUAUCUUCAAUUGCACGUUUCUUCUGAUUUGAUCUCUCUAAAUAUCUUUCUGAUAUUUAUCUUCAACUCCACGAGCCACGUCAGCACCAACCAAGCAAUCCCAAACUUGUUCCAACAGACCGUUUCUUGUUCCAGCAAGAUCUGCACUUUCAA
rnacentral:lncRNA from 1 species